GUGGUCGUGGCUCAGUGGUAGAGCACUCGCUGGGCACAUGUGAGGCACUGGGUUCAAUCUUCAGUACCACA
rnacentral:tRNA from 1 species